UACGGGGGGAGCAAGCGUUGUUCGGAUUUACUGGGCGUAAAGGGCGCGUAGGCGGCCACCGCAAGUCGACUGUGAAAUCCCCAGGCUUAACCUGGGAACUGCAUCCGAUACUGGAUGGCUUGAAUCCGGGAGAGGGAUGCAGAAUUCCAGGUGUAGCGGUGAAAUGCGUAGAUAUCUGGAGGAAUACCGGUGGCGAAGGCGGCAUCCUGGACCGGCAUUGACGCUGAUGAGCGAAAGCUAGGGGAGCAAACGGG
rnacentral:rRNA from 1 species